UAUUAUAAAGCGUCGCACGACGCUGUGAAUAGCUGUCAGUUUCACUAUUAAUUUGUCAACACACCUUACUAGUACUAGUGUCUAGUAACACAAGGAUAAAAAUGUAAGUGAAUAAAUAAUUUCAAAAUAUGUUUUGUAUUAUAACAGGGAAGACAUUGAGAGAACACAACACCUCAAAACUGCAAGUGAAAAAGAAAACUUUUUUUCUGAAAUCAAGGCUGCGGCGGAAUCUGGUUGGGACUUUUGAAGCCGUUGAUUCAUUCUAAAUGGAAAAAAUGAAGGAACCAUCUUAAAUUCGAAAACAAUGCACAUUGAAAAUAAUGCAAGCAAUGCAUGAAUAACACCGUCAAGGCAUUGGGAUAUGAAAAUGUUUCUUUGCAAUGGAAAGAUGCAGUGACGGCCAAAUUGUGGGACGAGGUCGGAGCGUAUAAUAUAAAACGAAAUUAUUUUUACCCAACUAAUAUAUCACCGCUAUGGACUGGAUGGUUUGAUUAAAACGAUAUAAUUACGUUAAAAAAAUAGAAUAUUAAAUUAUAUUUACUUAGACCACCUAAAAAAAGGAUAAAAACCAUCGAUAUGUGAAUUGCCAUUUGUACCAAGUGAACACAGUUAACGAAAUUAAAAGCUAAUAGUAAAAAUAUACUUUAAGACCUAUUUUACCUGUCACGUACGUUAGACGUUGGAAUAUAUUCAGAUGAACUCCAAGUUCCAAAAGUGUAAAAUACGAGGAAAAUUAUAAAAUGUUUUACGUUCAUCAUCUUGAAUGAGAUGAACCAACGGCUUGAAAAGUCCCAACCGGAUUCUGCCGCGGCCUUGAUCUCAGAAUAUAAGUUUUCUUUUUCAAUUUUAGUCUUGAAGUGUUGUGCUUUCUCAAUGUCUUCCCUGUUAUAAUACAAAGCAUAUUUUGAAAUUAUUUAUUCACUUAAAUUUGUAUCCUUAAUGCUAUUAGGUAUUUACCUAUUAUUUAUUAUUGAUAUUUUCGUUAGGACCCCAGCUUAGUGUUCACAUGACAAUUAAUAUAACUACAUUUCAUUGUUAUCUUAUGUUGGUGACUCGCAACAGUAAAUUAGUGGAAAAAUAUUAUAUUGGUUUAAUUAAUAACUUAUAAGUUAUAAGUUAUUUUUAAGUAGAGUAAGCUACACAGUCAGAGCUAUAUACCGCGUAUUUAAUUGUAUUCCGACGUGUAAACCGUACCGAUACGGGUCAACAGUGUCAAUCAACUGCAAUUUGUCUUGAAUUUUUAAUUAGGUUUGGGUACGAUUGAUAUCGAGUAGUAAUCGAAGCUGUACAAAUCUUUAUAUAAUUUUUAUUUACCAGUGAUAAACUAAUAACUAAUAAGUAAUAACAUUAUAUUUGUAACAGUGUAUAUCGUUUACCCGGAAUUCUGCACAAUUGAAUUAAUGCUGUUGUGUUGUAGAUGUUUGAAUAAAUAAUAUUAUAAAUUAGUUUUAUAAAUUGUAUAUUGAUCCUUGUUGUAUCGUUAAUGUUAUAAUUAAUAUUAUAUUU